GGAAAUUGUAGCAGAAUAUGCAGCGUCUAGCAGUUUUGAUCCACUAAUGUUUGAAAAUGAAAAUGAAUUUAAGAAAAUGCAUAGUAUGUGGUUACAAUGCGAAAAAGAGAAUGUGAGAGUAGAUAAUAAAAAAUGGUGUUUGAAUAAGGAUAAACAGAAAAUCCAAAAUUGCAUGAAAUUGUUGCUGUUAUUAAGAAAUCAAUUAAAUCGGAUACUUCUGGGGCACACUACUGUGGCUUGUAUACAAAGUAGUACUCAGAAAUAUAGUGAUUGUCCAACUUGUGGCUUAAAUGCAGA